GACGAACGCUGGCGGCGUGCCUAAUACAUGCAAGUAGAACGCACAGUUUAUACCGUAGCUUGCUACACCAUAGACUGUGAGUUGCGAACGGGUGAGUAACGCGUAGGUAACCUGCCUGGUAGCGGGGGAUAACUAUUGGAAACGAUAGCUAAUACCGCAUAAUAUUAAUUAUUGCAUGAUAAUUAAUUGAAAGGUGCAAUUGCACCACUACCAGAUGGACCUGCGUUGUAUUAGCUAGUAGGUGAGGUAACGGCUCACCUAGGCGACGAUACAUAGCCGACCUGAGAGGGUGAUCGGCCACACUGGACUGAGACACGGCCCAGACUCCUACGGGAGGCAGCAGUAGGGAAUCUUCGGCAAUGGACGAAAGUCUGACCGAGCAACGCCGCGUGAGUGAAGAAGGUUUUCGGAUCGUAAAGCUCUGUUGUAAGAGAAGAACGGGUGUGAGAGUGGAAAGUUCACACUGUGACGGUAUCUUACCAGAAAGGGACGGCUAACUACGUG
rnacentral:rRNA from 1 species